CUGGAGGAUCACUUGAGCCCAGGAAUUUGAGACCAGCCUGGGCAACAAAGUGAGACUCCAU
rfam:Pan troglodytes isolate Yerkes chimp pedigree #C0471 (Clint) chromosome 4, whole genome shotgun sequence.